CCUACGGGGUGCAGCAGUCGAGAAUCAUUCACAAUGGGGGAAACCCUGAUGGUGCGACGCCGCGUGGGGGAAUGAAGGUCUUCGGAUUGUAAACCCCUGUCAUGUGGGAGCAAAUUAAAAAGAUAGUACCACAAGAGGAAGAGACGGCUAACUCUGUGCCAGCAGCCGCGGUAAUACAGAGGUCUCAAGCGUUGUUCGGAGUCACUGGGCGUAAGGCGUGCGUAGGCUGUUUCGUAAGUCGUGUGUGAAAGGCGCGGGCUCAACCCGCGGACGGCACAUGAUACUGCGAGACUAGAGUAAUGGAGGGGGAACCGGAAUUCUCGGUGUAGCAGUGAAAUGCGUAGAUAUCGAGAGGAACACUCGUGGCGAAGGCGGGUUCCUGGACAUUAACUGACGCUGAGGCACGAAGGCCAGGGGAGCGAAAGGGAUUAGAUACCCUGGUAGUC
rnacentral:rRNA from 1 species